CCUACGGGAGGCAGCAGUGGGGAAUAUUGCACAAUGGGCGAAAGCCUGAUGCAGCGACGCCGCGUGGAGGAUGAAGGCCUUCGGGUUGUAAACUCCUUUUGUAAGGAACGAUGAUGACGGUACCUUACGAAUAAGCCACGGCUAACCCUGUGCCAGCAGCCGCGGUAAU
rnacentral:rRNA from 1 species